AUGACGGCUCAUAAGUUUCAGUAUACUAAAAAAAAGUUUUUGAAAAAGCUUUCUGACUGGAUUGAAAAAUAUGCUUCUUGUGGAGUCAAGGAAGAUUUAAUAAAAAUAGUAAUUCAGGCUCUACCUGCAUACGCUAUGGGGAUUUUCAAAUUCCCGGUUUCUCUUUGUGAGGAGUUAUCCUAGAUUAUAAGGAAUUUUUGGUGGAGAGAUGAAGAAGAUAGAAGGAAAACACAUUGGUUGGCGUGGGGCAAACUAACAAGACCUAAAGGUAAGGGUGGCAUGGGCUUUCGUGAUCUCAGACUUUUUAAUUAAGCUCUUUCAGCCAAACAGGCAUGGCAGUUGUUGGUUUAUCCGGACUCGCUGUGUGCGAAGUCGAUGAAAGCAAAGUAUUAUCCUCAGGAACAAAUUUUGAAUACGGUGUUUCCGCAUGCUACUUCAGUGAUGUGGCAAUGUAUUAGACAUGGUCUGGAACUUCUUAAGAAGGGGAUCAUUUAG
rnacentral:rRNA from 1 species